GGCGGAUGUAGCCAAGUGGCUCAAGGCA
rnacentral:tRNA from 1 species